GACGAACGCUGGCGGCGUGCUUAACACAUGCAAGUCGAACGGAAAGGCCCUGCUUUUGUGGGGUGCUCGAGUGGCGAACGGGUGAGUAACACGUGAGUAACCUGCCUUGGACUUUGGGAUAACUUCAGAAAACUGGGGCUAAUACCGGAUAGGAGCUCCGGCUGCAUGGUGGGGGUUGGAAGGUUUCGGCGGUUGGGGAUGGACUCGCGGCUUAUCAGCUUGUUGGUGGGGUAGUGGCUUACCAAGGCUUUGACGGGUAGCCGGCCUGAGAGGGUGACCGGCCACAUUGGGACUGAGAUACGGCCCAGACUCCUACGGGAGGCAGCAGUGGGGAAUAUUGCACAAUGGGCGGAAGCCUGAUGCAGCAACGCCGCGUGCGGGAUGACGGCCUUCGGGUUGUAAACCGCUUUCGCCUGUGACGAAGCGUGAGUGACGGUAAUGGGUAAAGAAGCACCGGCUAACUACGUG
rnacentral:rRNA from 1 species